AAAUGAUGAACUCAGGGAUUCUGUCUCCCAGCUUCAGAAGCAGAUACUGAGCCUCAAAUCUGCUAAGAUUGCCCUGAGUGAGAGUCUUAUCUCCUGUAGAGAAAGAGCUGAAAUUGUGGAAAAACAGACACAAGCUUUUGUCAUGCGAAUGGCUGAACUGCAAUGAAAGAUGCAUUUACAGCCUUGUCAGGUGUCUACUGUUAAAGUGAGGGCAUUUAUUGGAAAAGAAUGGGACCCUGAAGCUUGGAAUGGGGACAUGUGGUAGUGGCAAUAUCUCCUCCCUGACCCAUGCUGCCAUCAGCCUUUCCACCUUUGUCUGAGGAGAUAAACCCUGCACUGCCUGAAGCAACAGUGAUGGCAGUUGCCCUGAAACAGUUGCCAGGCAAGAUAAUAUUGCUUCUCCUCAG
rnacentral:lncRNA from 1 species